CAGUAGCCGCGGGAAUACGUAGGGUGCGAGCGUUAAUCGGAAUUACUGGGCGUAAAGCGUGCGCAGGCGGUUAUAUAAGACAGAUGUGAAAUCCCCGGGCUCAACCUGGGACCUGCAUUUGUGACUGUAUAGCUAGAGUACGGUAGAGGGGGAUGGAAUUCCGCGUGUAGCAGUGAAAUGCGUAGAUAUGCGGAGGAACACCGAUGGCGAAGGCAAUCCCCUGGACCUGUACUGACGCUCAUGCACGAAAGCGUGGGGAGCAGGCAGGAUUAGAUACCCCAGUAGUCCCUGUCUCUUAUAC
rnacentral:rRNA from 1 species